AAUAUAAUAGUACGCAUGCAAUGCAAGUAUGAAAGUGUGCUUGCGUAGGUACUAUUUGCCUUGCAUACACGUAUAGGGUAUUAAUAGUUGCUUGCUAAGAUGUCACAGACAUCUGUAUAUAAGAGUAACCUCUACGUUCCUCGUACAACAGAUGUAUCCAGCACAUCCUCGGUUAAUUUCGGAUUUUCCGAUUCGACCUGCUAAAUACUCGUUACACUCGGUCAAGUACGAUCAGCUACAAUCAGCAACGAAUAUUGUGCUGCACGGCGUAGCAAGGUUAAACGUAUGAUUCGUAUCCACACUGUUAUUAAACGUUAAAGGAUAAUAUCGUGAAGCAUAUUUUUGUAUUAGUCGAAAGAAUGUUUCGCAAAGUGUCUCCGAUCCGUUCGACGUCGUGUCGUCUCGAUUUUUAAAGUUCAACUAUCUAAGGAAACGAUAAGGGACAAGUGUUUCGUAGUGUUGUUGACGUAUGUCUUUCCACAGUGCUUUCACGUUCUGACAGACACAUCGAAGUCAUUCUCGAUUUUGUCUAUUUAAGGCACUAAUCAUGUCCAAGCCAGAUGGACCUAAAUUUGUAACUGCACUGUUUUCCUUUAAAGGAAAAAACAAUGACGAACUUUGCUUUAAAAAAGGAGACGUGAUAACUAUAACACAGAUGGACGAAGAGGGUUGGUGGGAGGGUACGUUGAAUGAGAAAACAGGCUGGUUUCCAUCUAAUUAUGUGAAAGAAUGCAGGCCUCCAGAUGGUGGACUUUCAACAGUCAAGACAUCUCCAGAGAAAACUGUACAAGAAUCACCCACACAAAAUAAACUCAACCGUGAUAUCGUGUUAAAAGAUAUAGUUGAUUCCGAAAGAGUGAAUGUAGCAGAAUUGCAGGGCUUGAUAAAUAAUUUUUUACAUCCGUUAGAAGCAGCCAAUGUAUUAAACAAGGAAGAGUACAAGCAACUCCUAGGCAAUGUGCAUGAAGUUUUAGAAGUGCAUCAACGGUUGCUUACUAGCUUAGAAGCAGCCAUGACGCAAGGUUGCUCUUCUAGAGUAGGAAACCUUUUCUUAACACUUGCACCAAGAUUGAAAUCCAUUCAUACAACGUAUUGCGGAAAUCAUCCGCGAGCAGUGUGCAUUCUAGACCGCUACAGAGAUGAAUUAAAUGAAUUUAUGGAGGAUAGUGGAGCUAUAUCACCUGGUAUAUUAGUACUGACGACUGGACUUAGUAAACCCUUUCGAAGAUUAGAUAAAUACUCAGCCAUGCUUCAGGAGUUAGAAAGAUAUAUGGAAAAGAAUCAUCCUGACAGAGGAGACACUCAGCGCAGUAUAGUAGUAUACAGAGAAAUAGCGGAUCGAUGUGCAUCCAUACGAAAGCAACGCGAGUUAGCACUUCAAGUAUUAACUAGUGGUAUUAAAGGAUGGGAAGGAGAGGAGUUAAGCUCGCUCGGAGAAAUUCUUUACGUCGGAUCUGUCACAUUAGCAACAGGGGCCACUGGACUAGAUCGUCGAGAUAGAUACUUCGUUCUUUUUUCCACAACUUUGUUGGUGCUCAGUGCCAGCCCAAGGAUGAGUUCUUUCGUCUACGAAGUAUAUUCGAAACCACAUAUCUAUCUUACCGCCAGUUUUAAUACGAAGAUGCGCGAUCGAACAAUUUUAAAUCACGCAUUCCUUUUUCUUUUACAGGGCAAACUUCCGUUGACUGGCAUUAAUAUUAUUCAAACGGAAGAUACCGACGAAAUUAGAAACGCUUUUGAAAUCACAGGGCCGAUGAUCGAGAGCAUACUCGUGCUCUGCGCCACUAAAGAGGAUCAGCAGCGUUGGAUCGAACUUUUGAUUCAGGAACAAACGACAAGCAGCAGUCUAGUGAAAUCGUCGACCACGUCACGCGUGAGUUGUAAUCUACCUCCGUACGCUCGCCUCUCGAGGUAUUUUGCCAAGCUGGUCAGGAGAAAGAUUAUACGUCCCGAACUACUGAAGAAAUUACUGUAUUUGCAAUAUGUUUUGAAGCCAGAUUUAAGUAACGUAAAAAUGCGAAAGCCUAACGUAACGACUUAUACGAUUUAUCCCAUGCGAGAUAGUAGCCGAUGUGGGUCCAACGAUUCCGAAACGAGUUUCGGGACGAAUAAAAUCGUGGGGGAGCAACGAUACGACAAUACCUCCAAGUUGCGUAAAUCUACGUUGACUCUUGAUGUAAAGUAUGCCUUGGGCGAUCUCGAUCUUAGCACAGUGGGGAUAAGGAACGGUUCAGAGUUCGUAUCCGAACACAGCAGUACGCGCGAUACCAGCAAAAGUUUACCCGUCGCCGUGUUUACGUCUACCGUUACUCUGCCCGGUAUUACCGUCGCUGAUAACGCGAACGAAACCGAACUUCCGGUUUCGUUUCCCAUCGCGCGUCAUUUCUAUCGUGAUCGACACUGUAAUACAAAGAACCAACACGUGGACCCUGCAGGCGCGAUGAACUGUUGGAAAAGCAUCGGAUGUAAUCGAGAGCAACCGAUCAUCGUUGCUUCCGACGUACAACGUCCGACGAUCGAGUUAGAUUCUCGCGUGGACGCUAGCGUACAUUCAUCGGAUUCGGGAAUGGCCGAGAGUUAUCGAUUUAACUCCUUCGAAAUCAAUUCGUCGUGUAAAUCGUACACUUGCAUCGGUAACAAGUACGAUAUCAGAAUACCUGAGAGAACUUCAUUAGGCGAAAGUGAAAAUGAUGAGAACAACUUCGAGCACCAAUGCAUUUGUACCUCGCCGUUCGAUUCCACUCCCAGGGAUAGCGCGCAUCUGUCCGAUUUAUCGAAAAGUAUCGAAGACGUUUUAAGUCCUUCGAUUCGCGACGCAACCGACGCAACUCAGAAUUUUGAUCACCCUUUGCACGACGUCGACAAAACGGAAGUAGAGGGCAUCGCGGACGAGUUCGAACGCUCGACACAGAGAAGGUUCACUCAACCGAUACCGUACGCUCAUCAAACCAUCAUACGAAAAAUUGGAAGAAAACCGAUUCAACCGGAUCGUCCUAUCGUCAAAGACGAUUACGACGGAACGAGUCAAGUCUAUACGUCGGGGCUGUACGCUCAUUGGUGGUUGAAGAAAUCUAUACCGUUUUCUGGAUGCACAGAUCAAGAUCUGCAGUCAACAGAACGGGAAACAACAACAACCACAACAACAGCAACGAUCGAUUGCGGAACACUGUCCAUCUUUAGGGAUUAGAACGUCAUGGUGUAUCGCUUCGUUACGUCCAGCUCCUCCUCUGUACACUUUCAGGGCAUUUGGUAAAACUGAUAACAGUUUGGAUUUAUCACGUGCACCACGACCUUCUAACGAACGACAAUUCGAAGAAGAUGCGAUUAUAUUGAAGGUGAUCGAGGCAUAUUGUCUUUCCGUCAAUGCUAGGUUUACCGUGCACUCUGGCGAAUCGACUU